rnacentral:lncRNA from 1 species
UGGUAGUAUCGAACAAAAUGUAGAAAUCGGUGGUGGUGGCCGUCGAUAGGCUCUUCCAUAACAAGCUCUACAAUCGAUACUUCAAACGCACAUCCAUAUUCAUGGCACACGACGAAACAAAUCAGUGCAAUAUCGGCGAUCGACACGCUUGAGGCGCGAGGUGCACUAAGGCCAGGCCUCAGCGUAAGUUUAUGAGAACGAAGGGGGUAUUAUAAGAUCACAAGAUCUCAAGGUAUAUGACAAGAUGUGGCUAACAAGGAUGAGGAGAAUGAAGACAUGGAUGCUAUGACAAGUUACAUUUUAUUUAGCAAAAUGAAUUACUUCUUUUGGUGCCUGAGUGCCCCUUCUCUUCAGUCCUCUCUGCUUCUCGUUGCCGCCCUUUCUUUGCUAGACCGUCACUAGCACAUUAUUUGGUAGUCGCUGCCCCCACCGGUGUGUAGUUGAUUACUUGAAGAAGGCGGUUGGGUGCCUGCAGUUCUGGCAUCGUAGAACGCUUAAAACUAAAGCGGAAGGAAGGUAGCAUGGAGAGGCCCACUUAGAAGAAUUUCCAAGUUUGAUCAGGGGCCCCGAGGUCGUUGACAAAAAUAAAGAGAUUUCUUCUCGCAACAAAUUCCUUGGCUUGCUGAAUAGAGAUGAUGUUUUCUUUAGUUGAGCGAGAUACCAAGGGUUGUCAUUGAUUAACCAAAGUCGACUUAAUUGAAACUGAUUGGUUAUCAUUGAUAAAUAUGAUGACACUGCAACGUAAAUUGAACAUAUGAAGAACUACAAAUCUUUAGAAGAAGAUGAAGUGAUUUGGUUGAUCCUUUUAUCCUUGUAAUGAACAAGGAGCAUGAUGGCUACAUUUGACUUUAUGGAAGAGGUGUUACUUUAAAAAUGAUGAACAAAAUGGGAGAUGGUGAGGAACCAUACAUGAUACAU